UACACACUGCCCGUCACACCAUGGGAGUUGGUUUUACCUUAAGACGGUGUGCUAACCCGCAAGGGAGGCAGCCGGCCACGGUAAGGUCAGCGACUGGGGUG
rnacentral:rRNA from 1 species